UCUGAGCAGACAUUUAAAGAAGCAGGACUGUUUUAACACCGCUGUCUUUGUGGUUGUUUUGUGUCUCUUUGUGGUUGUUCUGUGUCUCUUUGUGGUUGUUCUGUGUCUCUUUGUGGUUGUUUUGUGUCUCUUUCUGGUUGUUUUGUGUCCCUUUGUGGUCGUUUUGUGUCUCUUUGUGGUCGUUUUGUGUGUCUCAUUGGUGUUUUUAAGGCUGUUUUAUUCUUUACAGUCUUUUUGUCUCUUUUUUGUCUCUUUAUUUCUGUAUUUUUGAGGUUGUUUUUGUGUUUUUAAGCCUGUUAACUAGUUGUUUUCAUUUGUUAAUUCCAGCCUCUGUCCAAACAUCUCGCUGUGACUCUGAGCAGCUUUCAGAUCAUCGAUCCGGAGAUCAGUUGGUCCCUGAGGGAGGCUAGAAGAGGACAACAUGUCUGCUGGGGGAGGAUAUCCUCUGGACGCCUUUCAUCUCCAUCCUCCUCCUGUUUAUCAGCUGCAGCAGCCGAGGCGACGCCCUGCUGCUCCUCAACCGCUGCCGUGUCUCUACUGGAACACGACGGUUGCAGGACGUUUUGAAUCCAGACGCCUCCCAACGGAUGGAAGAGAUCUGCAGCAUCACUUCAGCUAAAACUAGAAUCCAACGUUUCUGUGAUUUUAUUCUGACGAGACAAAAUCUACGACAUCAACCACAGUCCUGUGGUUGUUUUGUGUAUCUUUGUGGUCGUUUCGUGUCUCUCUGUGGUAGCUUUGUGUCUCUUUGCAGCUAUCAGCCGUUAAAAUGUCACAGAAUUCAUUCAUAAAAGCAUUUUCUGUCAUUAACAGCAAAUACAAAUCUUGAAGUAGCUGAGAAACCAAAACUAGAAAUCCAGAUUUAAUGGAUGAAAUAUCAUCACACUGACCAAAGGUGAGAAUAUCUCUGAGCUGUCGCCUUUAAAAUGUGUGUGUGUGUGUAUUUGUCUGUUCCAGCGUGUCACCUAUAAGUCGGUCAACCAAACAAUUCCAGUUUAAAUCCACAUAUUUCACAAAGAAAGCAGCUACAUCCUUUAAAACACUGAAUAUUUCCUGGUUCUGUUGGUCUUUUAUGACAGUAAACUGAAUAUUUUCAGGGUUUGUGCUGAUGGUUAAUAAAACAUAUCCAACACAUUCAUCAGACAUAUUUCACUAUUUUCUGUUAUUUAAUGAACUUCAUCCAGUAAAUAUGAACCAAACAGACCCUCAGAGGAAACAUCUGGAACCUGCAGCCUCUAAAACAUCAGAUAUUUGCAGGUUUCUGCUCCUUAAAUGCGGAUAUUUGCUGUUUUUGUCGGUGUUUAACGGCAGUAAAUGGAACCUGUCUGCUGCUACAGAGACGUUCAUCACAUUAGAUCUAAAUAUUACAUCCUGGAGCGGCUUUUUCUCUAUUUCCUCAUCUUUUCUGUCAUAUCUGAGCCUGAUGGAGUCUCCUGAUAAACACGUUGUUGUUGUUGAGCAUCAUGAGGAUGAAGUGAUGCUGAGGAGGCCUGACACCAGCUCUCAACCUCCACGAACCACAACCACAACCACAACCACAACCAGAAGCUCUUCUGUCCGGAUAAAAAAACACCUCCGGCUGCUGCUUCGACGGUUCUGGAACCUCCGAGGUUCGGUCCGGAGGAUGAGGAGGAUGAAGAAGAGGAGGAUGUCUGCAGCGAUACGGCGGAAACACGGCGGAGGAUUUUCCUCCAUCAGGAUUAAAUUCUUACCUUCAAACAGCGCAGGACGAACCGCAGCUCCGGAUCAUCCAGAGAGGAGGAGCCGCCUUCAGAGCCCGGCCGAGGGCUGCUGUGACCCGGACAGGAGGAGGAGGAGGAGGAGGAGGAUGGUCUGGAGGAUCAGCGGCCCGAGGAGAGGAGCUCCACUGGGCGGGACGGAAACACCGUGACGCCGCUGCGCGUAAAGAGCUGCGUCCUGCUGCAGGAGGAGGAAAUACAGCAGCAAAAUACACUGAAAGGAGAAAAUAUAGCAGCAAAAUACACUGAAAAGAGAAAAUACAGCAGCAAAAUACACUGAAAAUAGAAAAUAUAGCAGCAAAAUACACUGAAAAGAGAAAAUACAGCAGCAAAAUACACUGAAAAGAGAAAAUACAGCAGCAAAAUACACUGAAAAUAGAAAAUAUUGCAGCAAAAUACACUGAAAAUAGAAAAUAUAGCAGCAAAAUACACUGAAAAUAGAAAAUACAGCAGCAAAAUACACUGAAAAGAGAAAAUACAGCAGCAAAAUACACUGAAAAGAGAAAAUACAGCAGCAAAAUACACUGAAAAUAGAAAAUAUUGCAGCAAAAUACACUGAAAAUAGAAAAUAUAGCAGCAAAAUACACUGAAAAUAGAAAAUACAGCAGCAAAAUACACUGAAAAUAGAAAAUACAGCAGCAAAAUACACUGAAAAAAGAAAAUACAGCAGCAAAAUACACUGAAAAUAGAAAAUAUAGCAGCAAAAUACACUGAAAAUAGAAAAUAUAGCAGCAAAAUACACUGAAAAUAGAAAAUAUAGCAGCAAAAUACACUGAAAAAAGAAAAUACAGCAGCAAAAUACACUGAAAAGAGAAAAUACAGCAGCAAAAUACACUGAAAAGAGAAAAUACAGCAGCAAAAUACACUGAAAAUAGAAAAUAUUGCAGCAAAAUACACUGAAAAUAGAAAAUAUAGCAGCAAAAUACACUGAAAAUAGAAAAUACAGCAGCAAAAUACACUGAAAAUAGAAAAUACAGCAGCAAAAUACACUGAAAAAAGAAAAUACAGCAGCAAAAUACACUGAAAAGAGAAAAUAUAGCAGCAAAAUACACUGAAAAUAGAAAAUAUAGCAGCAAAAUACACUGAAAAGAGAAAAUAUAGCAGCAAAAUACACUGAAAAUAGAAAAUACAGCAGCAAAAUACACUGAAAAUAGAAAAUAUUGCAGCAAAAUACACUGAAAAUAGAAAAUAUAGCAGCAAAAUACACUGAAAAGAGAAAAUACAGCAGCAAAAUACACUGAAAAUAGAAAAUACAGCAGCACAAUACACUGAAAAUAGAAAAUAUAGCAGCAAAAUACACUGAAAAGAGAAAAUACAGCAGCAAAAUACACUGAAAAUAGAAAAUGCAGCAGCAAAAUACACUGAAAAUAGAAAAUAUAGCAGCAAAAUACACUGAAAAGAGAAAAUACAGCAGCAAAAUACACUGAAAAUAGAAAAUACAGCAGCAAAAUACACUGAAAAUAGAAAAUAUUGCAGCAAAAUACACUGAAAAUAGAAAAUACAGCAGCAAAAUACACUGAAAAGAGAAAAUAUAGCAGCAAAAUGGUCCGUGUAUAUUUUGGCAACUGGAUUUUCCCUUCUGAAACGGGUAUUGAAAAACAAAAAACGAGUGGUUAUUUGAUUUUCGUUUUAAAAUACAAAAAUUAAAAUUGAAAUAGCAGGCGUUUUUCCUCUUCAUGAUCAAAAAGGGAUAUACGAAAUUUUAAAAAUGCUUUGAUUUUCAUUUUUUUCAUUUUAUAUUUAGAAUAACAAGAAAAUAAAAUCAGUAAGAGACAGAAACGAAAAAAGGUCAGUUUUUUCAUUUUCUGAGACCGGAAGUGGUCAUCAGCAAGUGUGGAGCCAGAGAGCAGUGAUUGGUCAGACUGACUGAGAGCCAGAGAGCAGUGAUUGGUCAGACAGCGCGCUAGUGGAUCUAGUCUGCUGUAUGUAUCUAUGGCCGGAACGUCUGUUAGCGUCUCUGGCUGCUGUUGACCUUAUUUUUGGAGUAAAACACGGUGGAAGCUGAAUUAGUGAGGAUGACUCCUGCUCCUGUCAUCUCUAAGCUCCUCCCACAUCUUUACCUGCACAUGAGGAAAAUCACUCCUGUAGAAUGCAGAUGCACAAUGAGGGACGUCUGCAGAGACUGAGAAAGAGUCUCACCACAUCCUGACAUGAGGAAAAAGACUUUAUUGAAGACUACAAUGAGAAAAACUAUCAGACAGCAGACAGCUGCAUUCAAGUCUGUAGCUGCUGAAUUCAUGGAUGAAUCAUCUGGCACUAGAGAGGAAGACCAUCAAACAUCCACGUCAGCUGAUGGAGGUCCAAGAGUGAAGACCUUGAAUCUGAUUGGACGGCCUCCUAUUCAGCCACGUGUGAACAAAUGCCUCUAAGCUGAUUUGUUUUCUAAAAUAAAUCUAGUUUGAGUCCUAAUCUAUGCCUGUGUGUUUGCUUCUUUACACCGCUGUUAACAGUUUAGGCUGUUAGAUUGUUCCAGAUAAGACAAGUACAAGAUUCUUCAGAGCCGUUCUACCACGAGCCUGACAGGAAGAACUCCAACAGCUACUGAAUGUUCCUGUGGUUCCCUCAAGGCUACAGGAGGAGUCCUACGAGGACGAGCCGGUCCACCUGAUGGCGGCCAGUCGCUGUGGUUCAAAGCCAACACCGACUACGUGGACUUCUACUGGACCACACGGAGGCCUUCAAACCGGACCAACAAGUUCAUCGACUCCCCGACUCGUGGGUCUGAGGACGCCGCCGAGCCUCGGUCCAGCCGGCCUCCUGUCUGUGGGUGUUUGAGUGCUGAGAGGUUUGUGGAUGCAUGUAAACGUUCUGUGUUGGAACAGCAGCUUUGGACUCAGUAACGCCAGGAAAAACCAAGAGCUCCUUUAUUUGUGACUUCCACUAAAAAAAACUGAUGAAAAUAAGUUUGCCAAGGUUCUGAUUAUUGAUAGAUUAUUAAAUAAUGAAAAUAACAGUUUAAAUAUUCCUUUAAACAAUCCUUUUAUGUCUACAUUUCCUUUACACUGACUUCUUGGUAUAUGUACAAGUAUUUUGGGUGGAAUAUACCAUUAAGCCCAAUGUUCAAGGGUUCUUCUGGGAAUAUACCAUUAAAGCAACCUUUUAGGUAAAUGUUCCAGGAUGUUGGGUAGAAUAUACCAUCAGAUCAACCUUUUAGGUCUACAUUGGAAGAUUUUAGAGUAGAAUAUUAAUCCAAACCAUCCUUUAGGUCUACAUUUAAGGUGGAAUACUCCUUUACACCAAGAUUUUUUGGUCUACAUUGAAAGAUUUUAGGUGGAAUAUUCCUUUGAAUGAACUUUUUAAGUUUAUGUUCAAGGAUGUUGGGUGGAAUAUACCAUCAGACCAACCUCCAAGGUCUACAGUAGUGGAUUUUAGGUGGAAUAUACCAUUAAACUCACCUUUUAGGUCUACAUUGGAGGAUUUUAGGUGGAAUUUUCUUCCAAACCGUCUUUUAGUCUACAUUUAAGGAUGUUUAGGAUGGUAUAUUCUUCCAAACCAACUUCUCAGGUCUACAUUUCAGGUGGAAUAUUCCUCCAUACUAACUUUUUUGGUCUACAUUGAAGGAUUUUUUCUAAACCACCCUUUCGGGUCUAUAUUUGGGGUUUUAGGUGGAAUAUUCCUUUUAACUAGCCCCUCAGGUCUCUUUGAGGAUUUUGGAUGGAAUAUUCGGUUAAACCAACAUUUUAGGUGCAUGUCCAAGGAUUUUUGGUGGACUGUUCCUUUAAGGUGGAUGUUUGAGGACCUUGUAGGUGGAAUACUUCCUGAAACCAACCUUUUAGGUCAACGUUAAAAGAUUCAAGGUGGAAUAUUCCCUUAAACCAACCAAAAUUUCAUGUUUUGAUCAUUAUCAAGUGAGAAACCUCAAUCCAGACUCCUCAUAAUGACAUUUAAGAUUUAUGCUGCUGUUAUUUGUUUAGUCCAGACUAAAUGACAGAAAUCCACAACUGUAAUUUUAUUUCAGGACUCGGUUAUUAAAUGUCAAAACAAUCCAUGUGUCUCUAAACACUCAACAGCUUUACAAACUCUAAGAUUAAACUCUCCACAAGGAUCCAAAAUAAGUUGGACUUCUACAUGAGAGCUUUAAUUAUUCUUCAUCUACUUCCUGAAAAGUUUGGUCAAUAAAAGACAAAAACUAAUAUUUUCAUCUGAACUAAAGACAGACUUUGUGAUUUUUCUGCUCACAUGUUGUGUUGUUGUAAACUUACUCUUUCAAAUAAAUAUCCUCCUAACCCCCUGGAAACCAGCUUUUGUCCUGUUUUUGUGUUGCUCCUCCGUGACCCUAGACAGCCGGGUCGUAAUGUUUUUUGAGCAACACACCAUACUAUGAUGUUUUUACAAUGAUGGUUCUACUAUGGAACCAGUUUGACAUGUUCAGGUGUUCUUUGUUUGAAAACUCAGAGAUUUCAGGUAUCAGAGGUGGUUUUCAACUUUCUUUGUUAACUUUCUGCUUCAACUUUAAACUAAAUUUCCUUCACUAACCCAGCCCUCUGGACUUCCACUAAGCUGUGUUCCUAUUGGCUGUCCAGGUGGCUGCUUGGUGUUAUCAGGAACACCUGAGCAGCUCAGUGUCUUCCUGCUUUAUUUAGCUGCAGACAAACAUUUCCUCUGCUUCUCUCCACCACUGAACCGGGUUUGGCUUCGUUGCUUUAGUUUGUUCUUUAGGCUUUGGCUUGCAGCUUCCAGCAGUAAAAUUGUCUUUAAUGUGUUUCUUGGUGUGUUUUAGGGCUUUGUACUGGAUAGUUGUCUUGGUAAAUGUGGUUCUUUAGCCACAGUUAGCACAUGGUGCUAAUGUGUGCAGUGAUUAGUGGAUUUGGUACAGCUGAGUUGUGUCUUUAUCUUGGCUGUAGUGAGUCUUUAGAGGUUUUUGGUCAGACACAUUCUGUGUGUUUGUGAACCAACGUUGGUUGUCCAGAAGGUAAGAGUUCCUGUCCUGAUUCUCUGUUCUCAGAGGUUCUCUGGUAGGCUGCAGGAGACUUUAGUGUUUGGGUUGUGCUAGUUUGGUUUUUGUACGGUUUCAUUUGGACGACUAUCUUGAGGCCCCUUCAUGUGGUUUAGUGAGGUUUUCUGGAACAGUUCUACAAAGCAACCUGCAGCAGAAGAGACUUUGAGAGUUUUUAGGAAGUUCUGGAGAGCCAGACUUUAGAGCAGCAGAAACAUUUGUCAGCAGUUUGAGCAGGAGAAGGUGAGCUUCAGAGUAGAAAUGAGAUGGAAACCUUCUUGACCCGUGUGGUGAGGUCCUGUACCAAGAGUUUGAGCAGAUUGUGAAGAGUCUGUAGUUCUUUGGUCUGAAAGCACAAGAAGAGUCGACUCAUUAAAGGAGAUAACAGGAGAUAUUGUUGGUUCUUCUGUCACUCUGCAGUUUCCUUAGACUGAAUAUCAAGUUUAUAUUUUAAAUGAUUUAACAUAUGAGCCCAAAAAGACUUCAAUAAACUCCCUCCAUCCCCUGGACUCAACAGAUUUUAUUACCAUGUUAAAUCUUUUUUAUUUUAAGUAUAUUUUUGAGUUUUAAUCA